rnacentral:sRNA from 1 species
GCUGGGCGAGGUGGUGCACUCUUGCAAUCCCAACCUCCCAGGAGGCUGAGGCAGGAGGAUUGCAAGUUCAAAGCCAGCCUCAGCAACUUAGGCCCUAAGCAACAUAGCAAGACCCUGUCUCAA